rnacentral:rRNA from 1 species
GUGCCAGCAGCCGCGGUAAUACGUAGGGUGCGAGCGUUAAUCGGAAUUACUGGGCGUAAAGCGUGCGCAGGCGGUUCGCUGUGUCCGAUGUGAAAGCCCCGGGCUUAACCUGGGAAUGGCAUUGGAAACUGGCGGGCUUGAGUGCGGCAGAGGGGGGUGGAAUUCCGCGUGUAGCAGUGAAAUGCGUAGAGAUGCGGAGGAACACCGAUGGCGAAGGCAGCCCCCUGGGUCGACACUGACGCUCAGGCACGAAAGCGUGGGGAGCAAACAGGAUUAGAUACCCUGGUAGUCC